GUGGGGAAUUUUGGACAAUGGGCGCAAGCCUGAUCCAGCAAUGCCGCGUGCAGGAAGAAGGCCUUCGGGUUGUAAACUGCUUUUGUACGGAACGAAACGGUCCGGGUUAAUACCCUGGGCUAAUGACGGUACCGUAAGAAUAAGCACCGGCUAACUACGUGCCAGCAGCCGCGGUAAUACGUAGGGUGCAAGCGUUAAUCGGAAUUACUGGGCGUAAAGCGUGCGCAGGCGGUUUUGUAAGACAGGCGUGAAAUCCCCGGGCUCAACCUGGGAAUUGCGCUUGUGACUGCAAGGCUGGAGUGCGGCAGAGGGGGAUGGAAUUCCGCGUGUAACAGUGAAAUGCGUAGAUAUGCGGAGGAACACCGAUGGCGAAGGCAAUCCCCUGGGCCUGCACUGACGCUCAUGCACGAAAGCGUGGGGAGCAAACAGGAUUAGAUACCCCGGUAGUCC
rnacentral:rRNA from 1 species